rnacentral:lncRNA from 1 species
UCGUGCUCUGCGCAAGAGGGAAGUCCUGGUAGGUCGUGGCCUUGGAAGGGUGGUUGAUUUACUAGAUGAACCAGAUACCACCGGAGAAGUCUUAGAUUUCGUUACUUUACUUCCUUCCAGUUUGGAAUGUACAUGCUCAUCAGCUGAGGUUUUUGGGGUGCCACAAGCCUGAGACAAAACAAAUUUCCAUUUUCAACCGGAAUGAAAUUAAGAAAACAGAUAAAAGCCACAUACAAAAUCUCAUUGAGGGUCUUUUUGCUUUUUAACUGUAAGAAUUUACAACUAAAAUGAAAAGUGCCUCGGAAUGAAAUAUUAAAUCCAAGCUGGUGUCUGUCCACCUGUCCUUAGGAAGUCUCAACUUACGAAGUCCACAAAAUUUCUCAAAAAAGAGUUUUAUCACUUUGAAUUUGUCCCCUGCUUAAAAUCCCUCAAAAUAUACAAUAUCUAAUAAAAAUCAGCCUUUUACUUAUAAAAUGAAUUCAUUUAUCAGCAU